AUUGAACGCUGGCGGCAUGCCUAACACAUGCAAGUCGAACGGCAGCAUGAGAGAGCUUGCUCUCUUGAUGGCGAGUGGCGGACGGGUGAGUAAUACAUCGGGACCUACCCAGACGUGGGGGAUAACCUCGGGAAACCGGGACUAAUACCGCAUACGUCCUACGGGAGAAAGCGGGGGAUCGCAAGACCUCGCGCGGUUGGACGGACCGAUGUUCGAUUAGCUAGUUGGUGGGGUAACGGCCUACCAAGGCGACGAUCGAUAGCUGGUCUGAGAGGAUGAUCAGCCACAUUGGGACUGAGACACGGCCCAAACUCCUACGGGAGGCAGCAGUGGGGAAUAUUGGACAAUGGGCGCAAGCCUGAUCCAGCAAUGCCGCGUGUGUGAAGAAGGCCUCGGUGUAAGCACUUUAUCAGACGAAUACGCGUGGUUAAUAACCGACGUUGUCUGACGGUACCUGAGGAAUAAGACACCGGCUAACUUCGUGUCCAGCACG
rnacentral:rRNA from 1 species